rnacentral:lncRNA from 1 species
GCCCAUUAGGGUUUUUUAUGCGAAGCCACAGAAAGCACUGGUAUCCAAGCGUGGUACAGCAUGAGCAAAUUGGAUUUGGAAGCAGGCAGGCAGGCAGGCAGGCAAGGCAGUCUACAGUGACUUUUAUAAAAGGCUUUUUCACCGCACGUGGUGGGCUGGGCCAACAUGUCGGGCGUUCACACGAGUGCAAGCUCCUCCUCGGUCCUCACAGAUCCCAAUGAGAUCCGCUGUCACACGCCACCACACACAAAAUAAAUUAAUUAUAAUAUCAACUCAUCUGCCCCCUACUGCCUAGCAGUAAAAUCAACACCACUCAUGAUCUGACACCUGUACUGCUUUGUUACGUGUGGCUCUGUCCGCUUUGGUGGGUGAGAGUACGAAAUUGACCUUGGAAGUUGUAUGGGGUGUCUUCUUUUGAGAUGGG